rnacentral:rRNA from 1 species
UACGGAGGGGGCGAGCGUUAUUCGGAAUUAUUGGGCGUAAAGGGCGCGUAGGCGGCCCCUUAAGUCGGGUGUGAAAGCCCCGGGCUCAACCUGGGAAUUGCACUCGAGACUGAAUAGCUAGGGUACGGUAGAGGGAAGUGGAAUUUCCGGUGUAGCGGUGAAAUGCGUAGAUAUCGGAAGGAACAUCAGUGGCGAAAGCGACUUCCUGGACCAGUACCGACGUUCAGGCACGAAAGCGUGGGGAGCAAACAGG